rnacentral:rRNA from 1 species
AUUGAACGCUGGCGGCAUGCUUUACACAUGCAAGUCGAACGGUAACGCGGGGCAACCUGGCGACGAGUGGCGAACGGGUGAGUAAUGCAUCGGAACGUGCCCGGUAGUGGGGGAUAACUGCUCGAAAGAGCAGCUAAUACCGCAUACGACCUGAGGGUGAAAGGGGGGGAUCGCAAGACCUCUCGCUAUUGGAGCGGCCGAUGUCGGAUUAGCUAGUUGGUGGGGUAAGGGCCCACCAAGGCGACGAUCCGUAGCUGGUCUGAGAGGACGACCAGCCACACUGGGACUGAGACACGGCCCAGACUCCUACGGGAGGCAGCAGUGGGGAAUUUUGGACAAUGGACGCAAGUCUGAUCCAGCCAUGCCGCGUGCGGGAAGAAGGCCUUCGGGUUGUAAACCGCUUUUGUCAGAGAAGAAAUCUUCUGGGUUAAUACCUCGGGAGGAUGACGGUAUCUGAAGAAUAAGCACCGGCUAACUACGUGCCAGCCGCCGCAGUAAAAC